rnacentral:rRNA from 1 species
UACGUAGGGUGCAAGCGUUAAUCGGAAUUACUGGGCGUAAAGCGUGCGCAGGCGGUUUUGUAAGUCUGAUGUGAAAUCCCCGGGCUCAACCUGGGAAUUGCAUUGGAGACUGCAAGGCUAGAAUCUGGCAGAGGGGGGUAGAAUUCCACGUGUAGCAGUGAAAUGCGUAGAGAUGUGGAGGAACACCGAUGGCGAAGGCAGCCCCCUGGGUCAAGAUUGACGCUGAUGCACGAAAGCGUGGGGAGCAAACAGG